rnacentral:rRNA from 1 species
UGGCAGACGGGUGAGUAACAUGUGGGUAUCUACCCUUUGGCCUGGAAUAACACGAGGAAACUUGUGCUAAUACCGGAUAAGUCUUUACGGAGAAAGCUUUAUGCACCAUUGGAUGAGCCCGCACUUGAUUAGUUUGUUGGUAGGGUAAUGGCCUACCAAGACUAUGAUCAAUAGCUGAUUUGAGAGGAUGAUCAGCCACAUUGGGACUGAGACACGGCCCAAACUCCUACGGGAGGCAGCAGUGGGGAAUCUUGCACAAUGGAGGAAACUCUGAUGCAGCGAUGCCGCGUGAGUGAAGAAGGCCUUUGGGUUGUAAAGCUCUUUCGUCGGGGAAGAAAAUGACUGUACCCGAAUAAGAAGGUCCGGCUAACUUCGUGCCAGCAGCCGCGGUAAUACGAAGGGACCUAGCGUAGUUCGGAAUUACUGGGCUUAAAGAGUUCGUAGGUGGUUGAAAAAGUUGGUGGUGAAAUCCCAGAGCUUAACUCUGGAACUGCCAUCAAAACUUUUCAGCUA